UGGCUUAUGAUGAUAAUUUAAUUAUCUUAGCGGAUUUCAGUGAGAUUCCAAUCAAUGAUCUCAAUGUUACACACACUCAGGCCA